rnacentral:rRNA from 1 species
AAUAUUGCACAAUGGGCGGAAGCCUGAUGCAGCGACGCCGCGUGGGGGAUGACGGCCUUCGGGUUGUAAAGCACUUUUGGCAGGGAAGAAAAGGCUCUGGUUAAUACCUGGAGCUGCUGACGGUACCUGCAGAAUAAGCACCGGCUAACUCAGUGGCAGCAGCCGCGGUAAUACGUAGGUGGCGGGCGUUAGCCGGAAUUACUGGGUGUAAAGGGUGUGUAGGCGGGAUCGCCAGUCAGUGGUGAAACCCGUGGGCUCAACCCACGGCCUGCCAUUGAAACUGCGGUUCUUGAGAAUGGGAGAGGUAAACGGAAUUCCCGGUGUAGCGGUGAAAUGCGUAGAUAUCGGGAGGAACAUCGGUGGCGAAGGCGGUUUACUGGACCAUAACUGACGCUGAGACACGAAAGCGUGGGGAGCAAACAGG